rnacentral:rRNA from 1 species
GUUUCCGUAGGUGAACCUGCGGAAGGAUCAUUACCACACUGAUCCAUGAUCUCCAACCCCGUGAAUUUGGC